rnacentral:lncRNA from 10 species
CUCAAAUGAUCCACCCGCCUUGGCCUCCCAAAGUGCUGGGAUCACAGGCGUGAGCCACCGUACUCAUCCUGAAACUAAGUUUGAGAGAAGGCAAAUCACAAACAACUGACCUGGGAAGGCCUAAUACCAUGAUGAAGAAGUCCCGCAGGUCCUUAUCGCUAAGACGGUGAUCCUUCUCAAAGGUCCGGGCAGAGAUUAUCCUCCCACUGCCAAUCCUACGUCCACCAAGCAGACGAAGCCCAUCACUAUCUUUCUCUAAUGGACUUCCUGAGCGCCGGGAGCUAACAGCGGCUGUCACGUGGCAGCCCCCUCCAAAGCUCCGUCUCUGAGGGCUGAGAACAACAUCUAAGUCAUCUUCUUUCACACGCUCUCGUGGAUCUGGAAGGACGUGGGAAAGACAAAGUUAAACAAACCAACAAGGGUGUUUUCUUCUUUUUUAGAUAGUAUGUCCAUGACUGAUGGGAGGAAGGGGAUGGUUGGAAGAGAGUCACCACUAAAAUUGGGCUUAUCAGCAGAUUCAGGGUAACAUGUACAUUAUGUAUUUAAAUAAGGCUGAGACAUUGGCCUUCCUCUUUGCAGCAAUAGAAGUACGUCACGAUAAAUAAUUUUCCAUGA